GUUGUGGAAACCUGCACAUCCAGCAUACAGCUACUUUUUCAGAGCAAGGAAACUGGAAAAGAAGACCAGGAACCAAACCUGAAAGGUCUUCCUUUUGCGUCUCAUCAGUUAAUGGAGCGUGUGCUUUCACUCGCAGUCUGAAGAGUCACAGCACCUCAAUAGAGUCUGAAUGGACAGAUGAAAAUGACAACAUCCUAUAUGGUUCCUAUGAUGCAUCUCUAACACAGCAGCUGACUGAAGACUGUGAUCUCAGGACUGACCUGAUCGGCCUGCUC